CCUACGGGAGGCAGCAGUGGGGAAUAUUGGACAAUGGGGGGAACCCUGAUCCAGCGACGCCGCGUGAGUGAAGAAGUAUUUCGGUAUGUAAAGCUCUAUCAGCAGGGAAGAAAGAAAUGACGGUACCUGACUAAGAAGCCCCGGCUAACUACGUGCCAGCAGCCGCGGUAAUACGUAGGGGGCAAGCGUUAUCCGGAUUUACUGGGUGUAAAGGGGGCGUAGACGGCGAUGCAAGUCUGAAGUGAAAGGCGGGGGCCCAACCUCCGGACUGCUUUGGAAACUGGAUGGCUGGAGUGCAGGAGAGGUAAGUGGAAUUCCUAGUGUAGCGGUGAAAUGCGUAGAUAUUAGGAGGAACACCAGUGGCGAAGGCGGCUUACUGGACUGUAACUGACGUUGAGGCUCGAAAGCGUGGGGAGCAAACAGGAUUAGAUACCCCGGUAGUC
rnacentral:rRNA from 1 species